rnacentral:rRNA from 1 species
AGAGUUGAUCCUGGCUUAGGAUGAACGCUAGCGACAGGCCUAACACAUGCAAGUCGAGCGGCAGCACCUCGGGUGGCGAGCGGCGCACGGGUGAGUAACGCGUAUGUAACCUGCCCAUGAGUGGGGGAUAGCCCGGUGAAAACCGGAUUAAUACCCCAUGAUACCAAUGUCUGACAUCACUUAUUGGCUAAAGAUUCAUUGCUCAUGGAUGGACAUGCGUUGGAUUAGCUGGUUGGCGGGGCAACGGCCCACCAAGGCGACGAUCCAUAGGGGUUCUGAGAGGAAGGUCCCCCACAUUGGUACUGAGACACGGACCAAACUCCUACGGGAGGCAGCAGUGAGGAAUAUUGGUCAAUGGGCGGAAGCCUGAACCAGCCAAGUCGCGUGAAGGAUGAAGGUAUUAUGUAUUGUAAACUUCUUUAGCUGUGGAGAAAUAAGGUGGUCGAGACCACCGAUGCUAGUACACAGAGAAUAAGGAUCGGCUAACUCCGUGCCAGCCGCAGC